GCGCCCGUAGGCCAACUGGAUAGACCGUCAGGCUACGGACCUGAAUGUUGAGGGUUCGAAUCCUUCCGGGCGUA
rnacentral:tRNA from 1 species